CUCAGGAUGAACGCUAGCGACAGGCUAACACAUGCAAGUCGAGGGGCAGACAUAAAAGUAAGCAAUACUUUGGUGGCGACCGGCGCACGGGUGAGUAACGCGUAUGCAACCUACCUAUCAGAGGGGAAUAACCCGGCGAAAGUCGGACUAAUACCGCAUAAAACAGGGGCACCGCAUGGUGAUAUUUGUUAAAGAAAUUCGCUGAUAGAUGGGCAUGCGUUCCAUUAGGUAGUUGGUGAGGUAACGGCUCACCAAGCCGACGAUGGAUAGGGGAACUGAGAGGUUGGUCCCCCACACUGGUACUGAGACACGGACCAGACUCCUACGGGAGGCAGCAGUGAGGAAUAUUGGUCAAUGGGCGGGAGCCUGAACCAGCCAAGUCGCGUGAAGGGAAAAGAAGGAUCUAUGGUUCGUAAACUUCUUUUGCAGGGGAAUAAAGUGCAGGACGUGUCCUGUUUUGUAUGUACCCUGAGAAUAAGGAUCGGCUAACUCCGUGCCAGCAGCUGC
rnacentral:rRNA from 1 species